rnacentral:rRNA from 1 species
AACCCUUGCCAUUAGUUGCUACGAAAGGGCACUCUAAUGGGACUGCCGGUGACAAACCGGAGGAAGUGGGGAUGACGUCAAGUCCUCAUGGCCCUUAUAGGUGGGGCUACACACGUCAUACAAUGGCCGGUACAGAGGGUAGCCAACCCGCGAGGGGGAGCCAAUCCCACAAAGCCGGUCGUAGUCCGGAUCGCAGUCUGCAACUCGACUGCGUGAAGUCGGAAUCGCUAGUAAUCGCGGAUCAGCAUGUCGCGGUGAAUACGUUCCCGGGUCUU